rnacentral:lncRNA from 1 species
GAGAGUUUAUUGUAAUGGGUGUGUUGAUCGAAGAGGUAGGAGAUGAUGAUUGUUGGUUUAUUGAGGGUAGUGGUUGGUCAAUUGGGAUUAUGGGUGUUGGUUGGUUAUGUGCAACAGGUGGUGAAUUUAUUGAGGGUAGUGGUUGGUCAAUUGGGAUUAUGGGUGUUGGUUGGUUAUGUGCAACAGGUGGUGAAAUUUGAUUUUGCCACUGAUGUAUAAGGUAGGGGUGAAGGUCAUCAUCUAGGAAUUGAUGAGAGUGAGGUG